rnacentral:rRNA from 1 species
GGGGAGCAAUCCCUGAGUAGAGUGGCAAACGGGUGAGUAACACGUGGGUGACCUGCCUUCGAGUGGGGGAUAACGUCCCGAAAGGGACGCUAAUACCGCAUGACAUCCUGCUUUUGGAAAAGCGGACAUUAAAGCUGGGGAUCGCAAGACCUGGCGCUUGAAGAGGGGCCCGCGCCUGAUUAGCUAGUUGGUGGGGUAAUGGCUCACCAAGGCGACGAUCAGUAUCCGGCCUGAGAGGGCGGACGGACACACUGGGACUGAGACACGGCCCAGACUCCUACGGGAGGCAGCAGUGGGGAAUUGUUCGCAAUGGGCGCAAGCCUGACGACGCAACGCCGCGUGGAGGACGAAGAUCUUCGGGUCGUAAACUCCUGUCGAGCGGGAAGAACGCUUCCCGGGUGAAUAUCCUGGGGAAUUGACGGUACCGCUAAAGGAAGCCCCGGCUAACUCCGUGCCAGCAGCCGCGGUAAUACGGGGGGGGCAAGCGUUGUUCGGAAUUACUGGGCGUAAAGGGCUCGUAGGCGGCCAACUAAGUCGGAUGUGAAAUCCCCAGGCUCAACUUGGGAACUGUAUCCGAUACUGGAUGGCUUGAAUCCGGGAGAGGGAUGCAGAAUUCCAGGUGUAGCGGUGAAAUGCGUAGAUAUCUGGAGGAAUACCGGUGGCGAAGGCGGCAUCCUGGACCGGCAUUGACGCUGAUGAGCGAAAGCUAGGGGAGCAAACGGGAUUAGAUACCCCGGUAGUCCUAGCCCUAAACGAUGAAUGCUUGGUGUGACGGGUAUCGAUCCCUGUCGUGCCGAAGCUAACGCAUUAAGCAUUCCGCCUGGGGAGUACGGUCGCAAGGCUG